GGAAGGAUCAUUAUUGAAUAAACUUGAACGAGUUGUUGCUGGCUCCUAUAUGGGCAUGUGCACACUUGUCAUUUUUACCCCUCCACCUGUGCACAUAUUGUAGAUCGAUUGAGGAUUGCUGUGCUUUUUAUUCAAAAAGAGUCAGCUUUGUCUUGUAUCUUUAGAUCUAUUUAUUUAUUUUUCACAAUCUCUAAAAGUGUAUAGAAUGUUGAAUUUGGGAAAUAUACAACUUUCAGCAACGGAUCUCUUGGCUCUCGCAUCGAUGAAGAACGCAGCGAAAUGCGAUAAGUAAUGUGAAUUGCAGAAUUCAGUGAAUCAUCGAAUCUUUGAACGCAUCUUGCGCUCCUUAGUAUUCUGAGGAGCAUGCCUGUUUGAGUGUCAUUAAAUUCUCAACUACAUCUCUUUUUGAUGUGGCUUGGACAGUGGGGGUUAUAUUUGCAGGCUUUUGAAAAGAAGUUUGCUCCCCUGAAAUGAAUUAGUGGUAUCUAAGCAGAGACUACUACAGGUGUGAUAAUUAUUUUAUGCCUUGGUAUACUGCAUGCACUGCUUCUAAUGACUUUUGUUAUUGACCAAUUUGACCUCAAAUCAGGUAGGACUACCCGCUGAACUUAAGCAUAUCAAUAAGCGGAGGAAAAGAAACUAACAAGGAUUCCCCUAGUAACUGCGAGUGAAGCGGGAAAAGCUCAAAUUUGAAAUCUGGCAGUUUCUGACUGUCCGAGUUGUAAUCUAGAGAAGUGUUGCCUGUGCUGGACCGUGUACAAGUCUCCUGGAAUGGAGCAUCAUAGAGGGUGAGAAUCCCGUCUUUGACAUGGACUACCAGUAUGUUAUGGUAUGCUCUCAAAGAGUCGAGUUGUUUGGGAAUGCAGCUCAAAAUGGGUGGUAAAUGCCAUCUAAAGCUAAAUAUUGG
rnacentral:sRNA from 1 species